GAGUAGCUGGGACUACAGGCGCCCGCCAUCACGCCCGGCUGCUUUUUUUGUUUUAGUAGAGAGGAGGUUUCACCGUGUUAGCCAGGAUGGUCUCAAUCUCCUGACCUCGUGAUCCGCCCGCCUCGGCCUCUCAAAGUGCUGGGAUUACACGCGUGAGCCACCGCGCCUGGCCUGAAGAAAGAAGUCAUUAAAGAAGCAACCCAUGGCAAAACUAGUUAUUUUCUUAAAACAGUAGGAAGAAGAAAAGCUUUUUGAAUGAAUCACUUCUCAUCUUCUCCGAAGUUGGAAGCAUCAAGAAUCUAAAUAAGCAUUUAUGAUGGCUGGCAUGAAUAUUUCUCUCCUUCAUCGUGCCUAUUUUAUGAACUUGAACAAGGAAGUUGCCACAACAUCUGUGGGCCAGAGAACUAUGCCAGAAUGUUAUUUCCAGAUUGCUUCCUGUAUUUACAAAGGCGGAAGAUAGAAUGGGAGUCCUAGUUGACCUUCAUAUAAUUUUUAGAAGAUGGAGCACUUCAACUUCUUCCACUCAUGAAAAGAGAGGUGACAGGUGAAGACAGAACAAGAAAACAAACCAAGAAUUUCCCCUCACCAGCCACCAGCUCUGCCAGCAACUUGAUCUUAGACUUCCCAGCCUCCGUAACGUCUUCCUCCUAAAAACCUGUAACCUCAAUCUAAUCAUGAGAAAAGACAUCAGGCAAAUCCCAACUGAGGGAGAUUUUACAUAGUACCUGAGCAGUACUCCUCAAAACUGUCAAGGUCAUCAAAAACAAAGAAGUAUGAAAAACUGUCACAGCCAAGAGGAACUUAAGGAAACAUAAUAAUUAAAGCCUCUGCUUAUAAUCUGUCAUGGAUUGGAAAACUAGAAAAAACAGUUUACAGAGUAUAACAAACUUUGGAGGAGUUAAUCGACUCUAAGUAAAAGAGUAUCUAGCACGGCUGUGGAACAAAGGAGAGACUCACAAACUGUUGAAAGAAUAAAUGAAUGAAUGAAUUCUGUUCAUGAGCUUUAAUAAAACAGCUCUGAGUAGUAACAGUGGAUCAAAUUUAGGCUUCUUGAUGCAGGCAUGGUGUAGAUUACUACUUCUGUAUUGUCCCAGGAGCUCAGCACAUUCCUGCAGAGAUGAUAGGAGCUCAUCUGAUACUUGUCAGCUUUGAAUAAACUCCAGUCCCCAAGAGAGAGAAUGAGAAUCACCGGAAUACGAAACUUCCCUGUUGGACUUCCCAACAUUCUUGAAUGCACCAAGAUAGCCUCUUGCUGUGAGAUUAAUAAAUGAAUAAAUGCCUCCAUAUUUUUCAAA
ensembl:lncRNA novel transcript